rnacentral:rRNA from 1 species
UACGUAGGGGGCUAGCGUUGUCCGGAUUUAUUGGGCGUAAAGAGCGUGUAGGCGGCCAGGUAGGUCUGCUGUGAAAACUCGAGGCUCAACCUCGAGACGUCGGCGGAAACCAUCUGGCUAGAGUCCGGAAGAGGAGAGUGGAAUUCCUGGUGUAGCGGUGAAAUGCGCAGAUAUCAGGAAGAACACCCGUGGCGAAGGCGGCUCGCUGGGCCAUUCCUGACGCUGAGACGCGAAAGCUAGGGGAGCGAACAGG